rnacentral:rRNA from 1 species
CUACGGGACGCUGCAGUGAGGAAUAUUGCACAAUGGGGGGAACCCUGAUGCAGCAACGCCGCGUGGAGGAUGACGCAUUUCGGUGUGUAAACUCCUUUUAUAUGUCAAGAAAAUGACGGUAGCAUAUGAAUAAGCACCGGCUAACUCCGUGCCAGCAGCCGCGGUAAUACGGGGGUGCAAGCGUUACUCGGAAUCACUGGGCGUAAAGGACGCGUAGGCGGGUUGGAAAGUCAGGUGUGAAAUCCUACAGCUUAACUGUAGAACUGCACUUGAAACCUCUAAUCUAGAGUAUGGGAGGGGGAGAUGGAAUUAGUGGUGUAGGGGUAAAAUCCGUAGAUAUCACUAGGAAUACCUAAAGCGAAGGCGAUCUCCUGGAACAUUACUGACGCUAAGGCGUGAAAGCGUGGGGAGCAAACAGGAUUAGAUACCCUGGUAGUC